CAGCUGCGCGCCCGGCGAGCUGCGUUCGAGAGAAGCGAAGCCGUUUCCCGGGACGUGAGCGGUUUGAUUCCGUACGUCAAUAGGAAGGCAGCGAACUUGCCCGAGUCGCGGCUGCCGUUUCAGCGCGGUUUGCUUUGGUAGGAAGAGGUCACGGAACUGCAACUUCUGUUCAGAGACCGCCCUUUGAACCAUGGCGACCGACGCCGCUGGUACCCGGCGAGCGGCGAGCAAGGAGAAGAUAACGAGCCCAAUGUCGGGCCCGACUACCGACUCGGAGCGGCGAAAGCAGAUCAGCGUGCGAGGCAUCGCUCAGGUCGAAAAUGUAGCCAACGUGAAGAAGGCCUUCAACCGGCACGUCCACUACACGCUGGUCAAAGAUCGCAAUGUGGCUACGCCUCGGGACUACUUCUUUGCCCUGGCCUACACCGUCAAGGACCACCUGGUCGGCCGAUGGAUCCGCACGCAACAGCACUACUACGACAAGGACCCCAAGCGGGUCUACUAUCUUUCACUGGAGUACUACAUGGGCCGUUCUCUCACCAACACCAUGGUGAACCUGGGCAUCCAGAACGCCUGCGAUGAGGCCCUCUAUCAGAUGGGUCUGGACAUUGAAGAACUGGAGGAACUCGAGGAGGAUGCUGGUCUGGGCAAUGGCGGCCUGGGUCGGCUGGCGGCCUGCUUCCUCGAUUCCAUGGCCACGCUAGGCCUGGCAGCCUAUGGAUACGGCAUCCGCUACGAGUAUGGUAUCUUCACGCAGAAGAUCACCAAUGGCGAGCAGACUGAAGUGCCAGAUGACUGGCUUCGCUUUGGCAACCCGUGGGAGAAGGCUCGCCCGGAAUACAUGAUUCCCGUCAACUUCUACGGCCGUGUGGAGAAGACCGACAAGGGCUUCAAGUGGGUCGACGCACAGGUUGUGUUUGCCAUGCCCUACGACAACCCCAUUCCUGGGUUCCGCAACAACGUUGUCAACACCAUGCGACUGUGGUCAUGCAAGUCGCCCAUCAACUUCAACCUUCGCUUCUUCAACAACGGUGACUACAUUCAGGCCGUCCUCGACCGGAACCUGGCAGAGAACAUCUCCAGGGUGCUCUACCCCAAUGACAAUGUGUUCGAGGGCAAGGAGCUUCGUCUGAAGCAGGAGUACUUCAUGGUCGCCGCGACGCUGCAGGACAUCAUUCGCCGUUACAAAUCUUCCAAGUUUGGCCAGACAGAUGCGGUGCGCACCCACCUGGAUCAGUUCCCGGACAAGGUGGCCAUCCAACUCAACGACACGCACCCAGCGCUUGCCAUUCCGGAGCUCAUGCGCAUCUUCAUCGACAUCGAGGGCCUCAGUUUCGACAAGGCCUUCGAACUGACGACUAAAACGUGUGCCUACACAAACCACACAGUGCUGCCAGAGGCCUUGGAGCGCUGGCCAUGCUCCAUGUUGCAGAACAUACUUCCACGCCACCUGCAGAUCAUCUUCGACAUCAACGCCCGUUUCCUUGGCGAGGUGAGCCAGAAAUACCCCGGGGACCACGAUCGGAUGCGGCGUAUGUCGCUGGUCGAGGAAGAGGGCGAGAAGCGCAUCAACAUGGCUCACCUGGCCAUUGUGUGCUCGCACAAGAUCAACGGCGUGGCACGGAUCCACUCCGAGAUUCUCAAGAAGGACCUGUUCAAGGACUUCUACGAGAUGUACCCCGAGCGUUUCCUGAACAAGACCAAUGGCAUUACUCCCCGCCGGUGGCUCCUGCUCUGCAACCCUAGUCUGGCCGAUCUCAUUGCCGAUAAAAUUGGCGAGGACUGGAUCGUGCACCUGGAGCAGCUGACCAAGCUGAAACCUCUGGUCAACGACAAGGCAUUCCUGCGAGACUUGCAGAAAGUGAAGCAGGAAAACAAGAUGCGGCUGUGCGAGUACCUGCACAAGCUUACGGGCAUCAAGCUCAACCCAUCGUCCAUGUUCGACAUGCAAGUGAAGCGUAUCCACGAGUACAAGCGGCAGCUACUCAACUGCCUGCAUAUCAUCUGCCUGUACAACCGCAUCAAGGCAGACCCCUCGGCGCCCUUCGUGGCACGUACCAUCAUGAUCGGUGGAAAGGCGGCUCCGGGCUACCACAUAGCAAAGCAGAUCAUCAAGCUGAUCAUCGCGGUGGGCAACGUGGUGAAUCACGACCCUGUGGUUGGGGACAAGCUGAAGGUGAUCUACCUGGAGAACUACCGUGUCACCCUGGCCGAGAAGAUCAUCCCGGCCGCCGACCUCAGCGAACAGAUCUCCACUGCCGGCACAGAGGCUUCAGGCACCGGAAACAUGAAGUUCAUGCUGAAUGGUGCACUGACCAUUGGCACCCUGGACGGUGCUAACGUCGAAAUGCGAGAGGAGAUGGGCCCAGAGAACAUCUUCAUCUUUGGAAUGAACGAGCACGAAGUUGAAGAGCUCAAGAAGAGGGGCUACAAUGCCUGGGACUACUACAACAAGCUGCCAGAAGCGAAGAAGGCCAUCGACCAGAUCAACAGUGGUUUCUUCAGCCCAUCCAACCCAAACCUCUUCCACGACCUCACCAAUGUGCUGCUCAACCAUGACAGGUUCUUCCUGCUGGCUGACUUCGAGUCAUACAUGAAGUGCCAGGAGCGGGUGUCGGCCAUGUACACGAACCAGGAGGAGUGGACCAAGAUGGCGCUGCUCAACAUUGCCUCGUCGGGCAAGUUCUCGAGCGACCGCACCAUCUGCGAGUACGCCCGCGAGAUCUGGGGCGUCGAGCCCUCCUGGGAGAAGCUGCCCGCACCUCACGAGUCCAAGGGCGAUGACGAUAAAAAUUAAAAAAGAUGGUGGCCACACGUGGGACUUUGGCGAAGGAGGCCCUACUGCCCAUCAACCGCAAGCACGAGCUGCUGCUGCUUCUACCAACCAACAACCCACCGACGUCCACGCUGAACCGUCCGUCUAACCACCGCGGUUCUUAUUCCCUAGGCCUUGAGGCGUCAUUCCCCAGAACUGAGAAAGUAAAAAAAAAAGAAUCCAAAAUGCUGGCCUCAUAAAGCUGUAGCCCCCACCGAAAAACUUCAUUUUGUUGUUGUAUUCCUAGCAUUAUUUGAACAAAACGAGAGUUUCACCAGAAGCUGGAGACUUGAAACUGGAAGUGAUCAUUAGAGGACGAACAAUGAAUGUCUUUGGAACCUACAUUUAUUCUAACAGCAGGGUGGCCCUGAUGAAGACAAGCAAACCCCUUGUCGAAAUGUUUGUCCAGAGCCAUCCCUUGUCUGUUGAUCACUAGCGUGUGUUGGUGUUAUAGAUUGUGGAGCUGCCCUUUGAGAAGGUUGCGUGCGAUGUGAAAGUCAUGCAGGAUGCGACAGGCCUGGAAAUUUAAAACAUGGUCAGUGCUGUAAGUGAAAGGAUUUGCUGAUGUUAGUCGAAAGGAUUAAAGUGAUGGCACAUGUAAGUGAAACUGCUUGCAUGGGAGCGCUGUCAUCUGUAACCAUUCAUUUGGCUCAAACGAGGGUUGCAUUGUGGCUCUACUUUAAGGAUUAUGGAAGAAAGAUUGUGCAUGAAAGGGCUCAAGCUGAUUUCACUAAAGUUCCAUUAUGUUGCAUUAGUUGUUGCUUUGAAUAAUUUUCAUUCCCAUUUAAGUUGUUCAAAAAUGAUGCGCUAGCAUUGGAAUAUUGCAAACAGCUCGUAGCUCUUGGCAUUAUGGUGUGAGGCCUUAAAAAGGGCUUCAGGCUAGGAACUAGCAACGCUGUUGGCGGACUGUUCUAUAAAGCCAGAACAGUCCAACCCUGUAGACCGUAAACCAGGCAGGCAAUGCUUUAGUGUGCAAUGGCACUAGUGUCGAAUGCCCGAUUAGAGAAGUAGUAGUCAUAAGCUUUUAUUGUAUAGUAUAUAGCAUAGUUCAGCUUGUUUGUACAGGCUCUCAUCACAAUCUUCAGUCGGUAUGAAGCAACAAGAGUGCAGUGGUCAAGACUAUCUCAUAAUGGUUGCUAGUUGGGGUAAGGGAGAUACGUUGAAUAUUCAAAGUUUGCAGAACACAACUUUAAACACAUGAGUAAGACUUGCCAGUUGAGAGAGCUAUUGGUCUCAAUGAAUGAAGCAUGCUGUAAUGCAUAGAUGGUUUGGUCAAAACAAUAAGAGAAUUUCUGUGUCAUUGCCAAGCUGAUUAUGUGUGCGAGAUUAUUAAUAUGCAAAGUUUGCUCAGUGCCACCUACCGCAAUAUCCAUAGUCGUCAACCAUGCUCCCUAAAACAUGACCUGUUAAAAAAAAAACGGAAGUUCUUGGUACUUUAAGGGCUCAAAAAGUCCCGUCUUUCGAUUGUGCAGAUAUACCAGCUACAACCAAUAAUGGAAGUGUCAUAAAAUUUUCCAGAGGCAUCCUAGAAUGCUUUGUUUGGCACCUGAUCCAAAGUCAUUGUAUGAGAUGCUAUGACAAGUAUAAAGUCAUGCAAGAGAAUUGGAACCUCCUUGGCUUUCUUGAAGCUGCAUUUGCAGAAGCUUUGAACUAGUAACUGGCGACAUAAUCACUGGUUUUUGUGAGCGCCAGUCACUGGUAUUUAUUGCAUAGGGUUGUAAAAAGCAUGGCUUUGCUUUGCAUGGCAUGGCUUUGCAAAAAGCAUGGAAAAGAGAAAACAAAAAAUUUAGGAAGUGGGCAACGUAUCGAAGAUGUGGGACUACUUGGGAUAUUUUGGUGGGCUUCAUUUUUUUUUUUCUUUCUUGCACGAUGUGCCUACAUUGCAAGGUGGCAGCCACAGUCUGCUUGUGAUAGUGAAUGUUGCACCGCAAGUGCAAAGUCGCAUUGAUCAUCACAUUGAUCAUACGGUGCAGCUCUUGGCACUUCGAGUGGUGUGGCUAGUAUUAGCAAUUGUGGAGAGUUUAGUAGAGCGAGAAAAACUAUACUUAUUACGUUGAUCAAAUUAUGUAAGCUCAGAAUUCUUCCUGGGUUUCGGAAUGUGAUAGGGAACGUAAACUUAAGAAAUUGUGACACCGCAAGCGCUUAGAUGACAUAUUUCAAUCAAAAACAAAAUGACUUACCAGGUUGCAUAGACUGCGUAACUUCACCAUUCUUUCUGAAUUUUGAAAAAUUAUCAGAAAGAGAGAACUUGUAAAGCUGUAACAUCGAAAGUGCUUUGACUGGCUUUGAACUGCAAAACAAUCCCGGUGUCUCUUACACUGGCACACACUCUGUGUUCUCCAUGGUAAACACGGACAGCUUUCACGUCUUCAGACGCAAGCAGCAGCGAAUGUUUUGGAUUUGUGGGCUGUCGCCUAUAGCCUCGGAGCUUUGAACUAGUCGGAACACCAGUCGUGCACACAGCUUUGGGAAAAGAGACCCACUGGCAUCGGUUUCCCUACAAAAUUGCACGUCCUCAAUGGAUGACGGAUACCGAGUUAUUGCCUCUGCCGUCUUGAAAGCAUACUGUAAACUGCCCAUAUGUGAUCCUAGUUGUCCGCCAUUGUAUUUGUAGAGAGGACUGUUUUUUAUCACGCCUGCGAGCCCGUGACAUCCAAGCAAUUUACCCAUUUUCUUUUUCCUUUGCCACUGGUGUUAUUGAAGCUCUGUUAUCGUCUUUUAGACAACUCACCUAUUUUUUGUUGUUGAUUUGACCUUUGUGUGGAGUGUUAUGUGUUGCACGUCGUUCACAUCCUUUAUCUAGGUAACAAUACAUUUUUCAAGGUCUUUCACUGUAGUCUCCAUAUUGCCCUGAAACGGCUGAAGCUGUGCUCUUUGGCGCCGAGAGGACGGUCGCGGUUCCUGAAUUGUUCCUCCCGAUUUCCUGCCAUGGCUCGGAACAUCUAAAUAUAUGCCAGGUGCUUUAUUCUAAUGCAGCCAUGGCCAGAGACAUUUCGGGUAAAUAAUGAAUUUUAAAAUUUUAUCGGUGUUGUAUUGGUGGAAGCAUUGCAAACUGUUCCUGUUCAAGUUUGUGUUGUUGUUGUUGUGGUGUGCUGCAGUCAUGUCGAAUGUGGCAGUCGCACGAAUGUCCACAGUAACGAUUAAAGACGUGUUGAAACCUUGAAUCAAUAAAGCAGUUGUAUAUUCCUUGUC